GCUUGUGGAGGCCACAGAGGAGCUGCGGCGUGAAAUUGAGGAGGCCACUGAGCACCUGACUCAGCUCGAGGCAGAGCUGACAGAUGUGCAAGAUGAGAACUUCAAUGCCAACCAUGCACUAAGUGGUCUGGAGCGAGAUACGCUUGCACUUAAUCUCACACUGCGGCAGCUCGACCAGCAUCUUGACUUGCUCAAACAUUCAAACUUCCUGGGUGAGUUGUUAGCCAACUAGGCAGGUGGACCAGGGUCAGUCUUCAGCUGACUGUCUGCCUCUGCCCAAUUUAGGUGCCUAUGACAGCAUCCGGCAUGCCCAUAGCCAGUCUGCAGAGGCAGAACGUCGUGCCAAUACCUCAGCCCUGGCAGUACCUAGCCCUGUGAGCAACUCGGCAAGUGCUCGGCAUCGGACAGAGGCACUGAUGGAUGCUCAGAAGGAGGACUUCAACAGCAAACACAUGGCCAACCAGCGGGCACUUGGCAAGCUCUCUGCCCAUACCCACACCCUGAGCCUGACAGACAUAAAUGAGCUGGUGAGGUUCAAGUGUUGGGUGGGGCAGGUGGGUGUAGAUGUUCCUCUCACAGGGCCCUGACUUGUUCUGUGCCUGGCAGGUGUGUGGGGCACCAGGGGAUGCACCCUGUGCUACAAGCCCUUGUGGGGGUGCCGGCUGUCGAGAUGAGGAUGGGCAGCCCCGCUGUGGGGGCCUCAGUUGCAAUGGGGCAGCGGCUACAGCAGACCUAGCACUGGGCCGGGCCCGGCACACACAGGCAGAGCUGCAGCGGGCACUGGCAGAAGGUGGUAGCAUCCUCAGCAGAGUGGCUGAGACUCGUCGGCAGGCAAGCGAGGCACAGCAGCGGGCCCAGGCAGCCCUGGACAAGGCUAAUGCUUCCAGGGGACAGGUGGAACAGGCCAACCAGGAACUUCGAGAACUUAUCCAGAGUGUGAAGGACUUCCUCAACCGUGAGCCUCCCACGUGUCCCAGGCCAUGUGGUUGUCCCCUUUGGCAACUCCCGGUGUCUGUAUCUCCCUUGGUUCAUACUUGAGCCUCAGGGACUACACUGGAUUAGUGUUUAUGAUCCAUUGACUGGCUCCUGAGUUAUUGCCCAUAUGUGGUCCCAGGUCCAUGUUCUUGAGUCUGAGCCCCUUGUAUAGUCCCUGUCCUUGUGAUUA
rnacentral:sRNA from 1 species